AGGAGUAGUUUAAUUAGAAUUUCGGCUUUGGGGGCCGAAGUGUAAAGUUUUAUUUGCCUCCUUGACUUAAGUGGGUGU